CCUGGAGCCAAAUAACCAGAGGCACUGAAAAAGAUGACUAAAGUACAGGGCCAAUCUGUGGUCGAUAUUAGUAUUCAAGUGCUGAAUGAACCACAGAAAAGAU